AAGAGAAACAGCCUCCUCCUGUUCAUCUUCCUCUGCCAGCGCCUCCUCCUCCCCACGACCUUGCUCCUCCCAACCAAUCUGCGACCGAUACAUAAAUUUGACCAUUCAAUGUAAUAAAUCCGACCUUUAAGAGAGUAGAAACUGUUGUAUGAAGUUCAUCCCCCACCACCGUUUUAUCGACCUUAGAAAGCAAGGCAUGAUGUCCUCCGCCUCCACACCCAUCAGGCCAAUCUGCUCGCGCUGCCACCACAGCCAGCAGCUUCCACGCCAGUAACUUCCCGCUCUCCACCCUCCUUCCUCCUUUUCUACAAUCCUUAAAUCGCUCAGUACACCUUACCAAUCUGGAAGGUUGAUCUCCGGCUACAGAUUCGUCGCCCAUUCGGAUUUCCACUGCUACCUCAAUGCCUACGGAUUUCUUUGGAUUUAUAGAUUUUUUGGGAUUUGUUUCGGAUUUUUUGGGAUUGCUUGGCUUCUCAGUCUGGUCGCUGGAUGUUGAUAUCCAUUGAUUGACUUCACGACCUGUUCAUCAUCCACACUGUAAAUCAGAACUCAAGAUUUAAAAUGAAAAUUACAUAUAUCGGUCUCUUCCCCCAUCGAUCUCUCCCCCACGACUGCUCCGCCUCCGUUCUUCUUCGUCCAUCGCCACCACUCGCACGACUCCUCCUCCGUUCGGCUUCUUCAAUCGCCACCGCUCGCAAGUCCCAAUGGGUAUGCUCUCAUGGCAAUCUCUUAGCAUUAAACAUAAUAAAUCCGUCUUGAAGGCAAUAUAAACUGCUCGGAAAAUUUCUUCCGCCGCCGCAGUCUUAAAGCCACGCGACGGUGCUGUCCGCCCCCACGAUGAACCGGCCAAACUACGCCGCUGCAGCCAACACGGGAAGCUACUCGAACGCCGGUUCAUCUCCGCCUACGGAAGUUGUCGCGCCUCCCGAUUUCCGCUGCUACCCCAGGCCCUACGGUUUUCUUGGAAUUGAUUUCGGAUUGAUUUGUACACCUGUUCAUCAUCCACAGUGUACACUGCAUUCUUCAAUUGGUACGCCUACCGUGACCUCCUCCUCUUGGUUUAAAAUUUACAUUUGUUCAGCGUCAAUUUUGUUAUGCUCAGUCCAAUCUUCUGUGCUGCUUCUUUUUAAUUUACAUGUAUCUGCUCCCAAAAGAUGAUACCCCGCCACCCUUACUGCGGCACACAUAUCAUCCAAAUCAGCCGCGAACUAUCGACGGAGAAUUUUCAGUUUUGCGUGUUGCAAACUUCCCCCCCGCUCCCAUAUUCAGCAGAUGUAUCAAGAAAAAUGCAUUGAUGAAACACAUAGUUACCUGCUCUUAUUCCUCUCCGUGUGUGUUUGAUUUUGGUACCAGGGGUGCACGAGAGAUUCUCGAUGCAAUGGUUCAACCAAGCAGGUAAGCAAAGAAUUUUCAGAGGCGUACACUAUUGAUGCUUAAAGCAACUUUACUCCGGCACAUGGUGUUAGGCUGGAGACAAGUCCGUCCUCAGUUCUUUGUCGGGUAAGUUUAUUUACAAAUAUGAAAAAAAUGUUGAGUGCAGAAAUGGCACUUCUAGGCUGAGACCUUGCGUCAGUUUACUUGCAUAUGUUAAAACAGUACAACCAAUAAGAUGCAAAUUGUGCAAUAGUAGAGGUAUGGUUAAAUAUAUAAAAGCCAUCUACCUGCCUCUCUCUUCACGACGUACAUUGCGUCAGUUUGCCUGCAUAUGCUAAAAUAGUAUAGUCAAUAAGAUACAAAUUAUGCAAUAGUAGAGAUAUAGUUGAAUAUAUAAAAGCUAACUAUCUGCCUCUCUCCUCACGACGUACAUGAGCAUGCUCAGAGUUGACAACUCUCAUAUGUGUGAUGAUUUAUCCAAAAUACACCAAAAUCUGCAUAUACUGCCUUGAAUUAUGCUGUCCAAUCAGUGCAAAGAUAAUCCAAAAUAAACCAAAAUCUGCAUAUCCUGCCUUGAAUUAUACUGUCCAAUCAGUAGAAAGAUAAACAUGCUGUGGAUACAUACACAAGUAAGCCCAUUGAAAAAAAAUGAAUAGAUACACCAAGGGAUGGACGGUACUGACUGAAAAUAAUUUCAAUAGAGGCAUUCAGCUGAUACACAUGUACCUACAAGUCUGAUUUCAUGUACAGUUAAUUAUUUCUGGCUAUAGUUGAAGUAUUGUACACACUUGAAGAAAUCAAGCAGGGACAUAAACUAAGCAAAGAGAGAGUGAUUGCCAUAUCCGAAACCUUACGCAAUAUAGCAUCAGAAUGAGCACUCAAGGAGGAGUUGGUUAUUACAGUAUAUGCUAAUGUGCGGUUAAUUCUUAUGACUGAAAAUGAGCAGUACGGUACGCAAUAGCAAAAGCGAAGCAACUCAGUUGUUCAGUUUUCAUCUGCUUAGUUUUCGUUUGCAGGCCAGUUCUAUUUUCUGUCCUCGAAUUCUUAUUGCUUCCACUUCUCAAUGAUUACUGAACUUUGCUGAAUUUUCUUUAAAGCUUGCAGAGUUUUUGCUUCAAAAGGAUGCCGCUUCAAAACAAAUUGUUUUUCUUGCUACUGACGAGUAUAAUGCAAUGGAAUCCGUGAAGAUGGUAUGCGCAGAUUAACAAUUGUUUGGCCAAUCCUUUAGGUACGGGAACUCAAGCGGUUUAUUAAAACAUUGUAGGUGGUUCUUCAGUUUGCAUUGACACCUCUGUUUAUGCUUACUUGACAUUUGUGGAGAGUUACAUCACUCACACUGCAGUCCAGGGAAGCUGCAGCUCUCAUUUCUAUCUAAUCUCCUCAUUUCUUUUACAGCCUGAGAAUCCAUGUACAGUUGACGUUUAUUUUGCAGGCAAUCAACACAUAAUUGAUACAAUCGAGUGAUAUGCUACCAAUUUUCUAUUGGAUGGCAGUCUCUCAUGCUCAUAUUUAUAUCAUAGAGUUGGGCUUCUUAGUAGUAUUAGCUGAUUCCUAAUUUUGGGCUCUUAGAUGUUUGCAUGUAUUCGUUAGUACAUCUGAUGUUCUAUUGAGAUGCUAAGCUGCAUAUUUUUUUCACUACAGAACCUUUUGUUUGAUUCAGUUUUUUUUUUUUUGCUACGUUCAGAUUUCUUGUCACAUCUUUCCCCGUGAGUUUCGAUUCCAUCUAUUGCUGAUAGUUAGCCUGGUGUCAAAUGGUGCGGUCAAACACUGGUGUCAUGAUGUGUGUUUGCAUCAGCCUGCUUUCAUUUAAAAAGCACAUUUGGUACCGUAUUUACACCUGGCCAAAUUUAAAGCACCGCAACAUCCCUCUAAAUAACAGAACACUAACAAUACCAAUUCAUCCGUCCAUAUCAAAAUACAUAAACAACUUUCAACCCGGAGGCUUCACACAUCACCUCGCACAUGGAGCAAAGAGGAGGAAAAAACAGGUAAUCCUUAGUCAUCCAUACAUUCAUAUUAACACAUAUAUAUUUCUAAUUCAUAUCUUCAUGUACAAAUCUCUAUAUGCAUCACGCCAAUGAGGCCAGCCGCGUCCGUAAUUCCAUCGGCACCAAAUCGUCAAAGAGAAGCUAACAAGAUGUACAUUAAAGCAAUAGAAGAACUCAAGCACAUCAAACGACCACUGCAUAUAACUUCACAGGAGGGUGACCAAGGGGAGCCUUCACGUGCUGAAAUCAAAAACAUACUUGAAAAAGAUGAGUUCUUCACAACGGAGUACAUCAAAGAAGGAAAGAGACAUGUGACAGCUAUCAUUUCUGCUGAGUAGUUCUAAAAAAAGGCAAUUAGUAGUUACCAAUUCAAUCAUCGGGUUGUCACAUGUAACUUUUUUUAUCAACUUCCAAAUAAUGAAAUAAACCCCCUUUAAUUAAA